rnacentral:rRNA from 1 species
GACGAAGGAUGCAAGCGUUAUCCGGAUUCAUUGGGUUUAAAGGGAGCGUAGGUGGACUGGUAAGUCAGUGGUGAAAUCUUUGGGCUUAACCCAAAAAUUGCCAUUGAUACUGCUGGUCUUGAGUAUAGUUGCCGUUGGCGGAAUAUGACAUGUAGUGGUGAAAUACAUAGAGAUGUCAUAGAACACCGAUUGCGAAGGCAGCUGACGAAACUAUAACUGACACUGAGGCUCGAAAGUGCGGGGAUCAAAC